AAGUUAGAAUAUUUCGGAGGUCUUGGAUUCAGACCAUAAAAACAGUCUCCUUGUUGAGAAGUAUAUACAUUGUAGAGGUUAGUUAAGUGGUUAGAAGUUAGUAAGUGAGUUAGUGUAUAACUGUUAACAUCUAUUAUUUUAUUCUUAAGAAGCUAGUGGUUAGUGAUGUAUAUAUAUACACAUAUACAAUACAUCCAGAAAUGAGAUUCGACAUUUUCCUCAGCCUUCUCUCUUCUUCCUCCUCUGCUUUAUCUCUGCCUCACCAAUGGCAGUGCCUCUUUAACAUGGUAUCUGAGCUCGGUUCAAGUCCGGCGAGUUUAUCAACGACGGACGAGUGAGAAGGUACAACUGAGCUAGUCGAAUCCAGAAUUGCACCAUCUUCUUCAAAUUGCAGCUGGAGAUACAUCUUCCUCUUCAAGCAAGGGUUUGUUGUUUUUGAGCAAUUUCAACAACUUUUCUGUAUUCCUGCAACAAUUUGAGUUAGUAAUUCUCUUCAAUGUACAGACCUAUGAAGUUUCUAUGGCAAUUAAUGAAAAUGAAUCUACUUCGACCAUUGUUACAUUGUCACCACCAGAUUCUCAGAACCUUAACUUAGUUCAUUACAGUCAUUCUCUAUAUAUUCAUCCUUCUUAUACUCAAGGUGUUGUUCUCAUCUCGAUUCAACUUCGAGGCUCAGAAAACUAUUCUAUUUGGAGUAGAUAAAUGAAAAUUUUAUUGCAUGGCAAAAACAAGUUAAGUUUUGUGCUAGGAACAUGUAGGAAAGAGCUAUAUUAUGAGAGUCUUCAUAAAUUCUGGGAUCGAUGUAAUACUAUUGUUUUGGCAUGGAUAAUGUAUACGGUAGCUCAAAUUUACUGGGUACUGUGAUCUAUGCCUCUAAUGCACAUAAGGUCUGGGAAGAUUAUCGUGAGAGAUUUGAUAAAGUAAAUGCUUCUAGAUCGUUCUAUCUUCACGAGGAAAUUGCAAAGCUAACUCAAAAUCUUCUAACUGUAUCUCAAUACUUCUCAAAAUUUAGAGUUAUGGGAUGACUAUGAAGCCUUAGCUCUUCCUCCUUCAUAUGGAUGCGCUGAAUCCAAGCAGCAUGUAGAACACUAUCAACUACAGAAAUUGAAUCAGUUUUUGACUAGUUUAAACGACACCUUUGAUAAUGCAAAAGAUCAGAUUUUUAUGAUCGACCACUUCCAAAUGUUAACCAAGCCUAUGCUAUGAUAAUUAAUGUUGAUAGUCAAAGGAGAAAUAAUGCAUCCCUAAGUACUGGCUUUGGUGAUUCUGCAAUAUUGAUGUCACGACCCCAACCUCGGUCGUGGCCAACACACUACUAGGAAAGCCCGACCAAUUCAACCUUAACCUUUUUUAUACAGUGCAUGAUUCAAUUAUCACAAAUAAUUACUAAGUCAUAAUACUGAAACUUUGAAAUAUAGUUAAAACAUGGGGAAACUCAAAUACUACUACACAGCCCGAAGAAUCUGGUGUCACAAGUCUGAGCCUCUAAUACACGGGUGUCAACCUACUACAUAUUGCUCUAAAGAAAUGCAAAAUUAAAGCAAAUACGUUAGGUGGGAAGAUCAGGAUUGCGGACGUCAUGCAGCUACCUUGAUGCUCUCAGAUAUGAUGCUCGGCAGAGAAAUCCUCACUCAGCCUCAGUGGGUGCACCUAGAUCUGCACACAAGGUGCAGGGAGUAAUGUGAGUACUUCCAACCCAGAGAGUAAUAAACAUAAAUAAAGGCUGAGAGUAAGAAAUCCUGGUUAGGCACAACGUAAGCUAUAAUUAUAGCAGUUCAAUCUAGAUAAUAUCAACUCAAUAAACCAAUGAAAACAAUGAUGCUACAACAGAUGAGUCAAUGAAUUACAAUCAAUUAAGAAAUGC
rnacentral:lncRNA from 1 species